GUGGGGUUGUAGCUCAGUGGUAGAGCACUUGCCUAGUACAUGUGAGGCUCUGGGUUCGAUCCUCAGCACCACA
rnacentral:tRNA from 1 species